rnacentral:rRNA from 1 species
GACAGAGGGUGCAAACGUUGUUCGGAAUUACUGGGCGUAAAGCGCGUGUAGGCGGCUAAGUAAGUCGGGCGUGAAAUCCCACGGCUCAACCGUGGAAGUGCACUCGAAACUGCAUAGCUAGAGUCCUGGAGAGGAAGGUGGAAUGCUUGGUGUAGAGGUGAAAUUCGUAGAUAUCAAGCGGAACACCGGUGGCGAAGGCGGCCUCUGGACAGUGACUGACGCUGAGACGCGAAAGCGUGGGGAG